CCAACUGAUUUUUGACAAAGGUGCAAAAGCAAUGAAGGAAAGAUGGCCUUUUCAACAAAUGGUACUGGCGCAAUUGGAUAUCAGUAGACCAAAAAAUAAACCCUGACCUAAGUCUCACACACUAAAAUUAAUUCAAAAUGAGUUGCAGUCUUAAAUGUAAAAUGUAAACCCAAAACCUAAACAACAAAAUAGGAGAAAAAUCUUCAGGAUCUAGGGCUAGGCACACAGUUCUCAGACUUGACACCAAAAUCUCAAUCCAAAAAAAAGGAAAAUUUGAUAAAUUGGACUUCAUCGAAGUUAAAAAUGCUUGCUCUAAAAAAAAGGUCCUGUUAAAAGGAUGAAAACACAAGCUAUAGAUAGGGAGAAAACAUUUAUAAACCACAUCUGUGACAAAGGACUAGGAUCUAGGACGUCUAAAGAAUUCUCAAAACUGAACAAUGAAAACAAACAAACAGUUCCAUUAGAAGUGGGCAGAUACCUGAGCAGAGAUCCCACUGAAGAGGCCAGGAGGAUGGUGAAGAGACAUCUGAGAAGAUGCUCAGCAUCACUGAACAUCAGGGAAAUGCAAACGGAAACCCCCGGGAGACAUGAGCACAUACUCAUCACGAUGGCUAAAGUAAGAAACAGCGGUGAGUGUGCAGAAACACCUGGCGAUUCACACCUUGCUGGUGGGAACCUGUGAGGGACCUGAUACAGCAGCCACUCCGGAAAACACCUCGGCAGUUUCUUACGAAACUAAACACGCGAGUCCCAAGCCACCCCGGCGGCCGUAUCCCAGAGAAGCCGGAAGACUUAUGUCCCUGCAAAAACUUGUGCAAUAAUGUCCAUGGCGGCUGUGUCUUUAAUAGCCCCAAACUUGAAAAAGCCCAGAGGUCCCUCAAAGAGUGAGUGGGUGGAAUAUUAUUCAGGCUUAAAGCGGAAGUUCUGACACCUGCUGCCACACGGGGAGCUCUGAGGACGUGCGGAGCGAAGGAGCCAGUCACAGAAGGACAGACACUGUCGGAGCCCGCUCACAGGAGGUCCCUGGCGUCCCUGUCAACUCCAUAGGGACGGGGAGUAGGGUGGGUUGCCAGGGCGGAGGGAGGGAUGGGAAGUGAGUGGGCAAUGGGGACAGAGGCCGUUUGGGAAGAUAAGAAAGUUCCGGAAGUGGAUGGUGGCGGCGACGGUCGCAUAGCAACGUGAACGUGCGCGACGCUGAUGGCCUGAGCACCUAACAAAGGCGUUUCUCCUUGGCCUCCAGGCUGCUGCUUCCGCUCUGUCCCGGGAAGCGCCUUCCCUUCGUGGCCGGACACCCGGUGGCCGGUGCCAGACGCUUGGAAAAAGAAACGUUUAACCUUCUGCUGCACAGCGCCUGGCCCCGACGCGCUGCCCCGCGGAGACAGCGGCCGCCACAGGGACUCUCAAUCGCCCCACUGCUUACCAUUGCACCUCUUCUGCAAAAGGGAAGGAAAAUGGGCCAAAACACCAUCCUAGAUGGCCAGUGGGUGCAACAGCGGUGUCUGUGGCCGACCCGGGUGAGAUGAUAGGUCCUCGGAAGAGAGGCGGGAGAGACGGCACUUUCCAGCGUGCGUCCAGGCUGCCCUCUGGGCCGCCAGCGACAGGCGGUCAGUUAUUCCAAGGUCUCCGCCACCGCCCAGGGGCCGGGGAAAGCCCCCGGCCAUCCUGGAUCAGCUCCGGGAGGCGACAGAGAGAUGCCACUCUCCAUCCCAACUCCCACGAGGCAUUAAAAGACAAAUUCCUGGCCCAAGCAGCGCCAGAUACUAGGAAAAACUCCAGAAGCGUGUGCAGGACCUGCCACCUCCCUGGACCACGAGGUGGCUGCGCCGAUUCUGCUUCUGUGACAGGACUCAGAGCUCCAGUCCCAGGCGCGGGAGACGGAGCGGAGGACGGAGGCUGGGCAGGCCCAGGUGAUGGCAGCGUUGACACCACGUUCGGACCAACCGCCAAAGCCUCCACCAAAGGAAGGGAACUCUGGUGCCACCUCUGCCCACAGGAAGGGCAUUGGGCCACAGACCGCCCCACGUAGGACAGGCCACCGAGGCGCAGGGAUACCUGCUUGGACGCAUCGUUCCUGAAUGAAGCCGUGGAAGGACCACAGUGAGACGCCCCCGGCCCCACAGAGGAGCACGCCCGCACAGGGCAAAUGCUCGCGACUCCCUUGGAGGAUCUCCCGCACCUGUUCCAGCGGACUCCUCCUGCCGUGGCUCCUGCAGGUGAGUGGCACACACUGUCUACCUGUGGGCGGGACACCUUCCCCCUGGCAAACCAGACUGCACAUGCCCUAAGGCUCAACCAACCCUGCGGAGACGGCCGUCCACCCUUUUCUGUUAACAAGUCAGGACAGGUUCAGGACAACCUUGGUGCCGUCCCAGAGUCCAUCUCCAAUCUCCAGGUGCGAGGCCGACCUCUAGGCCCUCGUAGAUGUCCCUGGUAAUUCCCUUGAUCACCCCAUUACUUUGCAUCCUGGGAAUUCUAAUAUUGGGUCUGACCGUCAUAAAUUUUCUAACUAAAUUUCUUUCCUCCCGCCUAGAGGCCAUCAAAUGGUCCUAAAUUCUCUGCCAGCCUCAGCACCUAUCUCCUCAUCACACCUACAACUACAACAACCUACCAAGAACAUAUACCGAGGUCCCCUGGAGAGACCCCCAGAGAACCUGCAUGAAGCCACCCUGGUAAGAAUCACCACCCCCACGCAGCAGGAAGCAGCCAGAUGGGCCAAGGCCCUACCUGGUGAUUUGGGCCUCUAGAAUAAAGUGUGCAGUGUUAGGUAGACAGCAAGGGACCUCCGAGUCUCUCCUAGGAACAAAAGUGGGUGCCUUGCCUUGGUGCUGCCUCGAGCAAUUGCCCCACCUGGGAAGGACAGGGCAGCACCCGUCUUCGUGCCGCCCCCCCUUAAUGCUGCCCAGCAGCGGCCCCGCCUGGGAAGAAGGAGACGCCCCUGCUAAUCUGCAGAACGCACGGAACCCCAGCCUGCAGCCCCGGCACAACAGCAUUUGGAAAGUGACCUGGAGUAACCUAACGCUAAUUAUCACGUCGUUAACUGUCCAUCCAAGUGGUUCCACGGUGACAGUGAUGUCUGAACCACGAGGAGGGCCCAAUCCAGAGAGUAUACAACAGGACCCCAGACCAUAGUCAGGGACCUUCUGCGUCUCCUUUUGUCUUCCUGAGGCAAACCUGUCUUGUCCUUCCUCAAUAAACUUCAUUUCAUGCUUAAAAAAGAAAAACACAAUAAUUAAAUAUGCACAGGACUGGUGCAUGACCGGACAGAUUGAUUAAUGGAACAAAAUAGAAUGCCCAGGGACAGACACAAAUAUGCAUAGAAAUUUAGUAUAUGACGAAGGUGACAUUUCCAAUCAACAGCGAGAAGGCGGAUGUCCAGCAAAUAGUGCCGAGAGAGACGGUUUGAGACCAGUUUGUCUCAAAAUAAAUCCCAGACAAAUGAAAACAAAGUACAAUGUAAGAAGGAGAGACAGGUGGACUUUUUAAAAAAUCUCCAAAUAGGGAAGGCCAUUCCCAGGAAACCAGAAAGAGAAAGAUAGAUUAAACCACAUCAAAAUUCUAAAAUUCUGUAGGAAAAAAUAUCCCACCAUAAACAAAGUAAAAAGACAAAUAGAAAAAUGGCGGAAAGACAGGAAACUAAUAGCUCACAGAGCAAUACACAUUGUUCCUAAACAAAUGCACAGCCGCUGCUCUCAUUUAUCAUUAAAGAUACGUGACUCCAUCUCAAUCUACCGGCGAAGAUUUGUUUACGCCGCUAACGCACGCGCCCACCUGCAGAAGGCAGGCGUCCCGUGGAGGCAGCUGUUGAUGUCCACCCAAACAUGACAGGCCCCAGGACUGAAUCAGGAAGGCUGGGGCGAGAGUCUGAACCCAGGCUGACUCCUGGGCUGAGUCCCUUGGUCAUCUUUCCUGAAACCAAACCCUGUUCACGGUUCUCUGCUCUUGUGAGCAGAUGGCACUCUGGCCCACCCCAAGGGGGACGGAGGUCUGGACCUAGGCUCCCA